UUCUACACUGACAGGAGCAAAAGCAUCAAGCUCCAUUUCCACAGAGCAAGGCACAAGAAAAAGGAGGGUGUAGUGUAUUUUUCAGACAUCAGUCUGGUUUUAAUAGAGUCCAGAAACAUUUCUUCCAGGUAGAUGCCCAAAUUUUUCUUUGCUUCUUUGUGGCUGAUUGUUAUGCCUGCAAAAAUGAACUGUGAAUGGAUGUACCUUGUAUAAUCAGCCACUUGGAUCUUCCUGCUUCAGGAAGUUACUUGUUAUAAGCUGGGGGCCUUGCAGAGCACUG
rnacentral:lncRNA from 1 species